rnacentral:misc_RNA from 1 species
UACUAGUGUUAUCAGUCCUACACUAGGUUUUAAUAUCAAAACGAUCACUUACCAAAAGUAAGAUUCUGUUCACACAAAAUUGUUAAGUGCACUUCAACAUUAUCUACUAACGAACUAAAAAUUUUACCUACGUCGGGUACUGAGUUGCAUAGCACUCUGGUGAGUUCAAACUUUUGAUUUAUUCAUUCCAAAUUACAAAAGUUUGGAGGCUGAUAUUAGCAAUCAUAGAGAAUUCUAUGUAAUUGUAGAUCUUAACAACACCAUCAUUUUAUAUUGAUCCAUCAAAUUGUCAAAGUUAUCAACUCUUAUCUUUUUUUCUGUCUAUUUGGAAUGGCACUAUAAUUUUCUUUUUCUUGUGUCAUUGAUUGAACUGAAUAUUAGCUGAGGUUUCUUAAAUUAGAAUUUGAAUUCGAAUGAAUUUUUGUUGGAAUGCAAGAUUUUAUAACUUGUUAUUUGACAGGUAUACCUUAAAUAUAUGGGAUGUCGGG